rnacentral:rRNA from 1 species
UACGAAGGGGGCUAGCGUUGUUCGGAAUCACUGGGCGUAAAGCGCACGUAGGCGGAUCUUUAAGUCAGGGGUGAAAUCCCGAGGCUCAACCUCGGAACUGCCUUUGAUACUGGGGAUCUCGAGUCCGGGAGAGGUGAGUGGAACUGCGAGUGUAGAGGUGAAAUUCGUAGAUAUUCGCAAGAACACCAGUGGCGAAGGCGGACUCACUGGCCCGGAACUGACGCUGAGGUGCGAAAGCGUGGGGAGCAAACAGGGAU